rnacentral:rRNA from 1 species
AUUGAACGCUGGCGGCAGGCCUAACACAUGCAAGUCGAGCGGAUGAAGGGAGCUUGCUCCUGGAUUCAGCGGCGGACGGGUGAGUAAUGCCUAGGAAUCUGCCUGGUAGUGGGGGCUAACGUCAGGAAACGGGCGCGAAUACCGCAUACGUCCUGAGGGUGAAAGUGGGGGAUCUUCGGACCUCACGCGAUCAGAUGAGCCUAGGUCGGAUUAGCUAGUUGGUGGGGUAAAGGCCUACCAAGGCGACGAUCCGUAACUGGUCUGAGAGGAUGAUCAGUCACACUGGAACUGAGACACGGUCCAGACUCCUACGGGAGGCAGCAGUGGGGAAUCUUGGACAAUGGGCGAAAGCCUGAUCCAGCCAUGCCGCGUGUGUGAAGAAGGUCUUCGGAUUGUAAAGCACUUUUAUUUGGGAAGAAGGGCUGUAUGUUAAUACCUUGCUGUUUUGACGUUACCAACAGAAUAAGCACCGGCUAACUUCGUG